rnacentral:rRNA from 1 species
GGGCCGCGAUUCCGUAGGCUGGUNNAGAAGGAAUGUUCANNACCUUCGGANCUGAGACCCGCCNNAACUCUCUACGGAGGGCAGCAGNGGGAUNUGACAAUGGGCGAAAGCUGAUCCAGCCAUGCCGCGUGUGUGAAGAAGCCCUCGGGUGUAAAGCACUUCAGUGNGAAGAACGCUGUGGGGUAAUACNNGCAAGGAAGACAUCACUCACAGAAGAAGCACCGGCUAACUCCGUGCCCAGCAGCCGCGGUAAUACGGAGGGUGCGAGCGUUAAUCGGAAUUACUGGGCGUAAAGCGCGCGUAGGCGGCUUGAUAAGCCCGGUUGUGAAAGCCCCGGGCUCAACCUGGGAACGGCAUCCGGAACUGUCAGGCUAGAGUGCAGGAGAGGAAGGUAGAAUUCCCGGUGUAGCGGUGAAAUGCGUAGAGAUCGGGAGGAAUACCAGUGGCGAAGGCGGCCUUCUGGACUGACACUGACGCUGAGGUGCGAAAGCGUGGGUAGCAAACAGGAUUAGAUACCCUGGUAGUCCACGCCGUAAACGAUGUCGACUAGCCGUUGGGGUCCUCGAGACCUUUGUGGCGCAGUUAACGCGAUAAGUCGACCGCCUGGGGAGUACGGCCGCAAGGUUAAAACUCAAAUGAAUUGACGGGGGCCCGCACAAGCGGUGGAGCAUGUGGUUUAAUUCGAUGCAACGCGAAGAACCUUACCUACUCUUGACAUCGAGCGAACUUUCCAGAGAUGGAUUGGUGCCUUCGGGAACGCUCAGACAGGUGCUGCAUGGCCGUCGUCAGCUCGUGUUGUGAAAUGUUGGGUUAAGUCCCGUAACGAGCGCAACCCUUGUCCCUAUUUGCCAGCGAUUCGGUCGGGAACUCUAGGGAGACUGCCGGUGACAAACCGGAGGAAGGUGGGGACGACGUCAGGUCAUCAUGGCCCUUACGAGUAGGGCUACACACGUGCUACAAUGGCCGGUACAGAGGGUGGCAAUACCGCGAGGUGGAGCUAAUCUCAUAAAGCCGGUCUCAGUCCGGAUCGGAGUCUGCAACUCGACUCCGUGAAGUCGGAAUCGCUAGUAAUCGUGAAUCAGAAUGUCACGGUGAAUACGUUCCCGGGCCUUGUACACACCGCCCGUCACACCUUGGGAGUGGACUGCACCAGAAG